rnacentral:rRNA from 1 species
GAUGAACGCUGGCGGCGUGCCUAAUACAUGCAAGUCGAGCGAACAGACGAGGAGCUUGCUCCUCUGACGUUAGCGGCGGACGGGUGAGUAACACGUGGAUAACCUACCUAUAAGACUGGGAUAACUUCGGGAAACCGGAGCUAAUACCGGAUAAUAUAUUGAACCGCAUGGUUCAAUAGUGAAAGACGGUUUUGCUGUCACUUAUAGAUGGAUCCGCGCCGCAUUAGCUAGUUGGUAAGGUAACGGCUUACCAAGGCAACGAUGCGUAGCCGACCUGAGAGGGUGGUCGGCCACACUGGAACUGGGACACGGUCCAGACUCCUACGGGAGGCAGCAGUAGGGAAUCUUCCGCAAUGGGCGAAAACCUGACGGAGCAACGCCGCGUGAGUGAUGAAGGUCUUCGGAUCGUAAAGCUCUGUUAUUAGGGAAGAACAAAUGUGUAAGUAACUAUGCACGUCUUGACGGUACCUAAUCAGAAAGCCACGGCUAACUACGUG